rnacentral:rRNA from 1 species
ACACGGGGGGCGCAAGCGUUAUUCGGAAUUAUUGGGCGUAAAGGGCGUGUAGGCGGUUUUAUCGGUCAGAUGUGAAAGCCCAGGGCUCAACCCUGGACGUGCAUUUGAAACAGUAAGACUUGAGCACGGUAGAGGAAAGCGGAAUUCCUGGUGUAGAGGUGAAAUUCGUAGAUAUCAGGAGGAACACCGAUGGCGAAGGCAGCUUUCUGGACCGAAACUGACGCUGAUGCGCGAAGGCGUGGGUAGCGAACAGGAUUAGAUACCCCGGUAGUCC